UCCAGACUAAACAUAUUUCCU
rnacentral:piRNA from 1 species